rnacentral:lncRNA from 1 species
UUAAUUCGUAGAGAGCUAUAACGAAGCGUCGUUAUUUAGUAGAACCCAAUAUUAGUUUUACAAAUACUUGUAACUUCAAUACUUUACAAAUCAUUUUUUUUUCUCAUAUGCGUAAUGUUUCCUACACUAUACGCAUCCACUCCACCAAAUCCCAUUAUACCUACCUCCCCACCACCACUCCUUUUCCCCCACCACACUAGUGCACCACCAACUCCACUCAAUCGUUUGGCACCAACAAAGAUAGAAAGUUUAAAGAAAAGAGUGUUGCAAAGACUAGUGGAAAGAAGGAAAAUAUCAACUCCCACCACCCUUUGUCUCCCUCUCUUUACAGCCACCAAGAGCUUUCUCCAAAGAGCAUAGAAGCCUCCACUUCGUUCAGCCAAGUUCUCAAGGUAAACCUUGCUUUAAUGUCUCACCUUCUUCGAAUGAUCACCUGCAAUUACUGAAACAACAACACAAAAUUUCAGUUCCAGUUCAUUCGACACGCCGUAUCCGAAAAGCAAGUUAAAACAUUCAUUCAAUUCUCUGCCAAACUUUAAGGUAAGAGUAGCCUUGAUUCAUCAUCUCGUUCCAACCAAUUAUAACUUACAGUUAUUGAAAGAAACAAGUUUGAUCUUUCUAGUUCAUUCAUUUCAGUUCUUUUAACUCAACAUCACAGCAGCCAACCAAGCCCAAAACAUUCGCAAGGUAAUUUGAUAUCCCAAAUAUUCAAUUCAGUUCACAUUCAUAUUUAGCAUAAUCACAGUUCAUCUACACGAAAUAGUCAAGAUAUGUUGUACAAUAGGGAGAUACUUUACAACAAAAGGAUUCAUAUGCUUCACACCCCAACAAGAGACAUGUUCAGUUAUUAGAAAUGCAUAGUAUGAGAUUAAUGGCAUAAUCUUUUAUUUCAUAAGAAUCUACAUUCUAUAUUUUUUUUUUACGCGAGCCACAAGCAAUGAGAAUUCAUAUGAUACAGAAGCAAUCAACUCCUAGAAUAAUUUCUUGCCUUCACAAUAGACUAUUCAACUGGGGAAUGAAAACUAGAAUAAAGACCUUACCUUGCUUAACUAAGUUCAAGAACCCAAGUCUGGAACCAAGCCGGGAGAGCUAUGCUCGUGUUUAGGUGUGGGGCCGAGAAGCGAUGACUGCCCUGCUUUGUCGAGGUAACGGAGCCGUAGACGACUCACGACCUCGGCGAUGGCCCUCGCCGAUUCUGGAUGGCAGCAGGGGCGGCGUACCUUCACCAAAAACCAGCAGCAGCGACCUGGGUUUGACGAUGAAGAAAAAGGGCGGCGCUGGGUUAGACGCGUCAAUAGACGACGCCGGUGGUAGCAGGCGACGGCUGAACGGCCGGAUGAGAGAGCGCCGGCUGAAUCGCCGGAUUCCGGGCGAAGAAGUAGCAGCGACAGCAGCAAUGAUUCCUUGAGAAUCAGGGCUCGAUGUUGGGGGAGGAAAGAGGACGGCGCCGGGGCUUUGACGCGUCGACAGAUGAUGCCGGCCGAAGCAAGUGACGGCUGAACGGCCGGAGGAGGCGCAGCGACCAGAACUUGGCCGAGAGAGUGAGGGAGAGAUCGGCUCCUUGAGAGAGAUAAAAGAGAGACCGAGAGUUAUGAGAGAGAGAGACGGGAAAAGGGGUAAGAGAAGAAGAGAGGGAAGGGAGGAGGCACGACCUUGCCGGGCUUAGGCGGCGGCGACGCCGGCAACCUCGUCGGAGCCGUGAAUCGAGAGAGAGAGCUCGAUUGGAUUUUCAGCGAGAGAGAGAAGAAGGAGGACGAGCGACUGGUUUGAGAGUUGAGAGAGAGAUAACCGAGAGGGGGAGGAGAAGUAGAGCUUUUGGGCCUUUUGUUUUUUUAAAUUGUUUGGGCUUAAGUUUAUUUCCUUUGCUUGGGCCGAUUUUGGAGUAUUUUUUUAGAUGGGCUGUUUGUUAUCCCAUUAAUUUGGGCCCAGAACCAUAUCCCUUAAUUUCACAUGGGCUAGCAUAUAUUGGGCUUUCCCUUUUAAUUUAUUGUGGGCCGAAUUAUUUUAAGUUGGGCUCGAUUAAUUUAAGGAAUUGGGCUGAUGCAUAUUUUAUGAUGGGCUAUUAUUCUAGUCCCAUUUAUAUUUCGUUGGGCCAG